UCUCCUUGUUCUUGUCGGCUAGCAUGCAAGCCCAGAGGUACAAUCAGGCAUGUCGCCACUUCAUGGAGAAAGCCCCGCCUGAGAAAGAAGCCAAUAUGGAUGAUAUCAGUGUUGAGAGACAGAGGGAGGAAAACCGUGUCUUGAUAAUAUCUGGAGUCUGAUAUCUUGAGCCCCUGGAGUAUGAAGACAAAAGAAACUGCCUUAUGGAGGAGGGGACUGGUGAAAACGUCAUCAAAGCUCAGCACAAGGUACAAAGAAGCAUUUACAUACCUGCAGCACUCUCUCUGUUUCCUGAUUUUGCAGAUAUUUGCAGCAAUGACUUAACCUUCCUGAGCCUCACUACCUCCAUCUGACAAAGGGGCACAGGAGAACCUGCUUUCUUUACUUCCCGGUGUUGUUAAGAAUGUGAACUGAAAAAGUCGAAGCAAUCAUGCUUUAAACAUAAAAUAAAAUGACUAUAUCUCCUGCA